CAAGAGUGAGGUAGUUGGUUGUAUAGUAGUUGAAAUUUGACUUAUACUAUACAAUCGGCUAACUUUUCUUC